rnacentral:rRNA from 1 species
UACGGAAGGCAGCAGUGGGGAAUAUUGGACAAUGGGCGCAAGCCUGAUCCAGCCAUACCGCGUGGGUGAAGAAGGCCUUCGGGUUGUAAAGCCCUUUUGUUGGGAAAGAAAUCCAGCUGGCUAAUACCCGGUUGGGAUGACGGUACCCAAAGAAUAAGCACCGGCUAACUUCGUGCCAGCAGCCGCGGUAAUACGAAGGGUGCAAGCGUUACUCGGAAUUACUGGGCGUAAAGCGUGCGUAGGUGGUCGUUUUAAGUCCGUUGUGAAAGCCCUGGGCUCAACCUGGGAACUGCAGUGGAUACUGGACGACUAGAGUGUGGUAGAGGGUAGCGGAAUUCCUGGUGUAGCAGUGAAAUGCGUAGAGAUCAGGAGGAACAUCCAUGGCGAAGGCAGCUACCUGGACCAACACUGACACUGAGGCACGAAAGCGUGGGGAGCAAACAGGGAUUAGAUACC